CCUUGAGCAAGCAGAAAAGGAUAAAUCAAGUCUUAAUUUAGAAGAUUAUGAGAAGCUUAAAACUAAAGUUGCUGAAGUAUUGGAAGAGAAGACACAAGUAGAGGAGAAGAAACAGAUUAUUACUGAAGAUUAUGAGAAACUUAAAGUCAAGGUAGCU
rnacentral:lncRNA from 1 species